GCCUACGGGGGGCAGCAGUGGGGAAUAUUGCACAAUGGGGGAAACCCUGAUGCAGCGACGCCGCGUGAGUGAAGAAGUAUUUCGGUAUGUAAAGCUCUAUCAGCAGGGAAGAAAAUGACGGUACCUGACUAAGAAGCCCCGGCUAACUACGUGCCAGCAGCCGCGGUAAUACGUAGGGGGCAAGCGUUAUCCGGAUUUACUGGGUGUAAAGGGAGCGUAGACGGCAUGGCAAGUCAGAUGUGAAAGCCCGGGGCUCAACCCCGUCCGGCCGUUGAAACUGGGGGCCUUGAGUGGGCGAGAAGAAG
rnacentral:rRNA from 1 species